rnacentral:ribozyme from 16 species
UUCUGUACUUUUCUUCUUGUUGCCUUUUUUUAUAUGUUUGUUCUUUUUCUGUUGCGAUCUUCGUAUUUUCAGCAGAAUUAUGACA